rnacentral:rRNA from 1 species
UCGGCUCGUGGGUCGAUGAAGAACGCAGCUAACUGCGAUAAUUAGUGUGAACUGCAGAAACCUUGAGCACGAAACUUUCGAAUGCACAUUGCGCCAUUGGAAUCAUAUCCUUUGGCACGCCUGGUUCAGGGUCGUAUUACUAAAACGCAAGCCGUUUGCGUG